CAGUACCGCGGGAAUACGAAGGGGGCUAGCGUUGCUCGGAAUUACUGGGCGUAAAGGGCGCGUAGGCGGACAGUUCAGUCGGGGGUGAAAGCCCGGGGCUCAACCUCGGAAUUGCCUUCGAUACUGGCUGUCUUGAGUAUGAGAGAGGUGUGUGGAACUCCGAGUGUAGAGGUGAAAUUCGUAGAUAUUCGGAAGAACACCAGUGGCGAAGGCGACACACUGGCUCAUUACUGACGCUGAGGCGCGAAAGCGUGGGGAGCAAACAGGAUUAGAUACCCCCGUAGUCCCUGUCUCUUAUACA
rnacentral:rRNA from 1 species